ACUCGCCGCUGAGACACUUUGGGAAUGAGGAGGGGUGCGGAGCGGCUUCCUCGGGGCAGAGGGACUGGCGUAGGCAUUUUUGCCAGAGACGAUGGAAAGUUGUACAGCGAUCAUCACAAGAGGGACUCUUGAAGGAUGGUUCGCAGAAGGGAAAAGAAAGGUGUUCCAAAGAGAGGUACCAUCGUGAACACAGGGUGUGAUAAGAAUUCACUGGCCAGUCUCCUUGGAUAUUUCUUCUGAACUGUGCUAUUUGAUUCGGCACCACCAGAUUCAGGAGGAGGAUACAUUUCAAAAUCUGAAUUCAUAUCCAAAGGGGACUCAGCUUCUUGCGGUUUGAGCCUCAGAGCUUCUCGAAAGUCAGCGGUCCUUACAGGAGACUGUCUUUGAUUUCACAAGAAGCCUCUAACAACCUGUUUUCAUUUAUUGGAUGUGCCAAUUUCCCUGGUGUAAAUACUGCUGUGGCUGAUUUCAAGCACAAUGUGAUGUCACCAAAAGUGGAUUAGGGAAGAAGUGCUUACAGCAGCCCUCCUGAGUCUAGUCGUAUGAGUCAGGGCAUGCUUUGGGUCCACUCAACAAAUUAUCUCCAAGUUUUUCAGAGCCACCCUGGAAGGAUGGAGACAGUGACAAGGUAGAAAAAGUCUUGCUUUUUCUUUAGCACAACAUUCCAGAGAAUAAACUCUUUUGAUUUUUCCAGGUCCCCAAAUUAGUCUUCAUAUGUGUUUGUCCCACUAUUCAGGUUUUUAACGUAGUAUCCAUGAUUUAAAUGUCAAGAACUCUGCUUAUUUUUAUUGUUGGCAGUCUAAUUUUGAUUUAAGAAUAUGAUAUCUACUCAACAAUCUCUCAGUGUGUUAAUUAUGCUUAUUUUAGAGUUUUCUUCUGAUUUAUUUUUUAUUUUUUAUUUUUUAGGGCCGCACCUGUGGCCUGUGGAAGUUGUCACACUAGGGGUCAAAUUGGAGCUGCAACUGCCAGCCUACACCAUAGCCACAGCCACACCAGAUCUGAGGUGUGUCUGCAACCUGCACCACAGCUCAUGGCAAUGCUGGAUCUUGAACCCACUGAGAAAAGUCAGGGAUUGAACCUGCAUCCUCAUGGAUACUAGUCAGGCUCAUUACCCCUGAGCCAAGAUGGGAACUCCUCUUCUGAUUCUUGUAUUAGCUCCACUUAAUUUGGGGUUAGUUCCUCUGCUUAUUCAGCCUCUUACCUCUAUUUCACGGUGUGUUUGCCUGAACUCUUUGGUUAUCUGGCUUGAUUAGUGUGGUUUCUUUAGCACAACUGAAAACCACUGGGGCAGUGAAUGUGGAUUGUGAUUACAAGGCGUUUGAUGCAGAGGGAGUUCUCCUUUAAGGAGUGCAGAAAGUGCUUACAUUCUGAGCAUGUGGACUACUUGUCUUUUGGGCCAGUUGAAAGGGACUUGGGGACACUGAUCUACUUCUCUCCCAAGCCCCCAUCCUUCCUCAGGGAAUUCUCCUGUGGCAUAGAUCCCCUACUUUAUUAAGAGGAUUUUUCUUUCAACAGGACAAUCAGUCAUGUGUGGGUGAUUUAAUAUUAGGUUAUAUAAUUUAUCCUAUUAACAGAUCAAAGGAGAAAAAUUAUUUAAUUUUGAUAAAUGCAAAACCGGAUAUUUAAUAAAUUUCAAAAUCCAAUGCUGAUUUUUAAAUAUUUGGUUAUGUAACAGUAAGGGGAUAUGUACUUAACAUGACAAAAUACGUGAAAAUUGACACACAUUUGUAUCUAUUGCCCAAAAAACCCCCAGUGUUUGCUUAAUAGUAAAAUGUUAAAAAGUUUCUACUGAAGUGAGGAAUAAAAUGAGGCAUGUAAUGCAUAUUGUGGUAUAAAAUUUAAACGUGACAGAAAAUGUAAUGAAAAUCAAAAGCCUCUCCCUCCAUGAUUCUGCACACUUGAAAUAACCAAUAUUAAUAGUUCGAUGCCUUUUUUUCACUAAUUUUACUUUCCUAAGCCAAUACUAUGAUUUAUUAUGUUUAAGAGAUAAUAUAGUCUAUUAUUAUUUUUGGGGAUGGUCACAAAUGGAAUUAAAGAACUAGCCAAUAUAUUUAGAUAAGAGUAUAAAGUAGCACAGCAAUUUUAACUGAGGACGCAAAGUUGUUAUUUACAGAUGUUUCAAUGGGCCAUUGAUGUGUAACAAACUACCCCAAGACUCAGUGGCCUAAGACAACAACCAUUUAUUUGCUCAUGGGUCUGCCAGUUGGGGUUGUCCCUCUCUUUCUCUCCUGUCUCCCUCUCUCUCUCUCCCUGACCUUUCCCUAUGGUCUUUCAAGCAGGGGAACCCGACUUCUUACAAGGUAGAUCUGGGCUCCCCAAACCACAAAAGUGGAACCUUCUACGCUUCCUUGAAGCUUAGGCACAGUGUCACUUCCUCUGUUGUCUGCUGAUGAAAAGCAAGUCACAGGCCCUUCCCAGAAUCAAGGGCAAGAAACUGCACAAGGGUGUGAAUUCUGGGAGGUGUGGUUUACUGGAACCAUGGUUUUAAAGACUACCACCACAUGACAUGGUUUUAGUUAUAGACAACCCAAAAGAAUCAACUGGAAAGUGAUGAAGAACAAUGGGGGGGUUCAGUCAAAUGAUUGGUGACAGAUCAGAUAAAGCUAAGUAUAUACUUAUAACAAUGUUACAAAGUUUUACGGAAUUAAAGAUAGUAUUUAUAAUACCACUAAUAAUUAUUUCAUGAAUAUUUAUUUAGCUACUACCACAUAACGAGUAUUGAUACAGAAAUACAUAAAUAGAAACAUAUUUAUCCAUCAUGAAACUUACAGUCUAGACAAUACAUACAUUAAGCAAAGUCUGUGAUGUUGGAAGGAACUUUGCCCAUUAGUGAGUUAUUGUGGUGUAACAAACAAUCCCAAAAUCUUAGUGGCUUAAAAGAGUAAACAUCUAUUGUUCUGCUGAAGAGUUCAAGUUGCUUAGGGCAAAGCAAUUUUAGUGUAAGGGGUGGGUUCAGAUCUGCUGUACUUGUCCCUCAGUCUGGGACCAGCAGCUAGUCAGAGUGUUAUUUUUCCUGCCACAUGGCAGGAGGACAAGCCAAACCAUGUCAGCACAUUUAAAAAGGCCCCUAUUUGCAUCAUUUACUUAUAUUCCAUUUGCCCAAGCAAAUCAUGUGGCCAAGUCCAAUACAAUGAGACAAAGAUGUAUAAUUCUAUUACAUGAACAAAGUAAGGGUAAGAAACAAUAAUAUAGUCAACCACUGUCAAUAAUCUGAAGAACUGGAGGUGUGGUUUCCUGGAGAUGUGGUGCACUGUCUGAAGAGCUAGAUAGGGGGCCAGAUCAUUUAGGGCCUUGUUGGCCUUGCUAAAGAUGUUGAAUGGCAUGGAAGUGCAAAGCCAAGCCACUGGAGAUUUUUAAGCAGGAGAGUGACACGGUCAGUUUACUGUUAAAAAAUGCUACCAUAUAAAGAAUGGCUCGGAAGAAAGAGGAUUUGAAGAGAGUAGGUAUGAAGCUAUUGAAAUAAGUUAAGAUGGUGGCUUGGCUUGGACAAGGAAAGUGACAGUAUAAAGGGAAGUAUAAAGGGUUUGAGAUCUAUUUUAGAAAUAUAAUGAUUAGGCUUGGUCAGGAAUGGGAUGUGAGUUUGAGGGAGGGCUCAGGUAAGACUCAGAUGCCUGACAAUUGCACCGGGUCAAUACACAUGCCCCAAAUGCACUCGGUAAAGAAACAUAUUUGAGGAGGUCGAUUAAAAGUUUAGUUUUGGAUUUACCAGGUUCUGUAUACUUGUGAGACAAUACUCAUAAAACACCUAGGGAUAAACUUAACAAGCAAUGUGAAGAAUCCAUAUGAAUAAAACUAUAAACCUCUAUGGAGGGCCAUAAAAGAAGAUUUGAAUCAAUGGAGUGUCAAACCUUGCACUUGGAUAGGAAGACUCAAAAUUGUAAAGAUGUCAAUUUUCACUAAAGACAUCUAUAAAUUCAAUGCAACUUCAAUCAAAAUUUCAAUAGUGUUUUUUUCUUGGAACUUGCAGCAAUUACCAGGACCAUUCUCUAAAAGAAGUGUAAUGAGAAAUAACCUGUUCCAUCAUAUAUUAAAAUACAUUAUAAAGCAAGAAGAUUUAUAACAGCAGGGUAUAGACGGAAAAAUAGAUUGAUAGCUCAAUGGCGUUGAAUAAAGUAAAGAAAUUGUGGAUCCAAGAACAGAUGAGGGUUUAGUAUAUCGCGGGGAUACCAUAGCCAAGUGAUGGAGAAAAGUCAUAUUAUUCAAUGAAAGAUUUAAAGACAACUGGAUAGCUAUUUAGAGAAAAAUAAUAAAGCAGCAUCUACAAAGCUCCACUUCUCUUUUUUAUCUGCUAUAUACUAUUCCAUAGCUUCAGGAUAGCAUCUUUUAGUAAGUCAUAAUCAUAUGGAUGUAAUUUUAGUUUCUUCUUCUUUUUUUUUUUAUAAAAAAUAGCAUGAAAAGGAAAUUUUUAUAUAGCAUCUUUGGACAAAUGUGUGAAACCUUCUCUGGGAUACAUUCCAAGAUGUGAAAUUGCUGAGUCAGAAAGGAUGUACUGUGGGGUUUUUUUUUUGUUUUUGUUUUUGUUUUUUUUAAGUACUGCUGUAUUUUCCUUUGAAAUCUCAAACUACACUCCAAGCAGCAGUGGGCAAGAAAACAAAACCAAAAUAAAUCCCAAUAAAACAGAUGGAUCAAGUUAAUAAAAGUAAAAGCAGAAACAAAUGAAAC
rnacentral:lncRNA from 1 species